UACGGGAGGCAGCAGUGGGGAAUAUUGCACAAUGGGCGCAAGCCUGAUGCAGCCAUGCCGCGUGUAUGAAGAAGGCCUUCGGGUUGUAAAGUACUUUCAGUCGUGAGGAAGGUGUUAAGGUUAAUAACCUUAGCAAUUGAUGUUAGCGACAGAAGAAGCACCGGCUAACUCCGUGCCAGCAGCCGCGGUAAUACGGAGGGUGCGAGCGUUAAUCGGAAUUACUGGGCGUAAAGGGCACGCAGGCGGUUAAUAAGUUGGAUGUGAAUCCCCGGGCUUAACCUGGGAAUGGCAUUCAAGACUGGUUAGCUAGAGUCUUGUAGAGGGGGUUAGAAUUCCAUGUGUAGCGGUGAAAUGCGUAGAGAUGUGGAGGAAUACCGGGUGGCGAAGGCGGCCCCUGGGACAAGACUGACGCUCAUGUGCGAAAGCGUGGGGAGCAAACAGGGAUUAGGAUACC
rnacentral:rRNA from 1 species